CUAACAGGAUUCCCCUAGUAACUGCGAGUGAAGCGGGAAAAGCUCAAAUUUAAAAUCUGGUAGUCUUUGGCUGCCCGAGUUGUAAUCUAGAGAAGCAUUAUCCGCGCUGGACCGUGUACAAGUCUCCUGGAACGGAGCGUCAUAGAGGGUGAGAAUCCCGUCUUUGACACGGACUACCAGGGCUUUGUGAUGUGCUCUCAAAGAGUCGAGUUGUUUGGGAAUGCAGCUCUAAAUGGGUGGUAAAUUCCAUCUAAAGCUAAAUAUUGGCGAGAGACCGAUAGCGAACAAGUACCGUGAGGGAAAGAUGAAAAGAACUUUGGAAAGAGAGUUAAACAGUACGUGAAAUUGUUGAAAGGGAAACGCUUGAAGUCAGUCGCGUUUGCCGGGGAUCAGCCUUGCUCUUUUGCUUGGUGUACUUCCUGGCUGACGGGUCAGCAUCAAUUUUGACCGGUGGAUAAAGGUCAGGGGAAUGUGGCAUCUUCGGAUGUGUUAUAGCCCUUGGUUGCAUACGCCGGUUGGGAUUGAGGAACUCAGCACGCCGCAAGGCCGGGUCUUUGACCACGUACGUGCUUAGGAUGCUGGCAUAAUGGCUUUAAUCGACCCGUCUUGAAACACGGACCAAGGAGUCUAACAUGCCCGCGAGUGUUUGGGUGGAAAACCCGGACGCGUAAUGAAAGUGAAAGUUGAGAUCCCUGUCGUGGGGAGCAUCGACGCCCGGACCAGACCUCUUGUGACGGUCCCGCGGUAGAGCGUGUAUGUUGGGACCCGAAAGAUGGUGAACUAUGCCUGAAUAGGGUGAAGCCAGAGGAAACUCUGGUGGAGGCUCGUAGCGAUUCUGACGUGCAAAUCGAUCGUCGAAUUUGGGUAUA
rnacentral:rRNA from 1 species